UCCUGUCAGCGUGUUUUUGAAAGAAAA
rnacentral:piRNA from 1 species